rnacentral:tRNA from 1 species
UCCCUGGUGGCUCAGCUGGUAAAGCAUCUGCCUGCAAUGCGGGAGACCCAGGUUUGAUCCCUGGGUUGGGAA